AUGACUGUUUCUCAAAGCACUGCAUAUCAAACAAUGGAGCCCUUAACCAAUGGGAUCAGUUCUUCGGGAAGCGCUAAAACAACUAGCAUGGACACAUCAACGACAUCCGAGACACCUACACUGACUCCGAGUCAUGAGGAUGAAAAUGAACCCAUUACAUCCACUGAUGACCAAACCUCACACAUAUCCAAUUCUUGGACCACUGGAACAUUAACUGCUACCCAAAAACCUGAGCCUACAGCUGAAACCUCAACCAACAGAGAGCAGACAGCAUUUUCUGAAUCAACAAUUACAGCGAUUUCCCCUACAACAACUCCCGACUCGAGUUCAUCCAUCUUCACAACAAGCUCAGAACCAAACCACCUCACUAUCAGAAGUACAACUGAGACUUACUCCACCAUUCAAGGCACUACACAACCAAUGAACACUUCUGUCUCACCAAUAAACUACCAAAACACUGCAACUCAAACAAUGGAGCCCUUAACCAAUGCCACUUCACAUGGGAUCAGUUCAAAAGAAAGCACUACAACAACUAGCACGGACACAUCAAUGACACUGACUCCAAGUCAUGCAAACCAUGAUUCAAUUACCACCACUGUUUCCAAUACACAGAAUGAUGUAGAGCAAACCUCAAACAGCAAUAUAUCUAUUUCUUGGACUGCUGGAGCAUUAAAUGGUAGCCAAACACCUAAGCCAACAAUUGAAAGAAGUGUCAUAAAACAGAUGGAAUUUUCUGAAUCGACAACAACAAUAAUUGCACAUACAACAACAACUACAGGCUCUUCAUUUCCAUCCUCUGUUGCGUCCUCUGGAACAUCACACUCCGCUAUGACGACAACACAACAGCUUGAGUCAUCAGACCAUACUCAAGCCUCCAUCACAUCAAAUGAAUCGACAGCAACAACGAUUGCCCCUACACCAACUCCAGACUUGAGUUCAUCCAUCUUCACAACCAGCUCAGAACCAAAUCACUUCGCAACGAGAAGGACAACCGAGUCUUACUCCGCCAUUCAAACCACUACACAACUGAAGAACACUUCUCUCGGUGACACUUCUGACUCACCAUCAAUCUACCAAUCUACAAAUGAAUUAGAUACUACGUCUUUCAGCCACCUGCAAACUGCCUCUGCACUUCUUCAGUCUACAUCGUCGCAAAUCACACCAACCAAUGCAAAGAUUACAGAGCCUUCUGUUACAACCUCAACUUCCUCCAGCAGAAGUGUCACAGAUCAGACGGCAUUUUCUGAAUCCACAAGGACAAUGACUGCAGGAUCUUCAUUUCUGUCCUCUGACGCAUCUUCUGGAACAUCACACUCCACUGCGAACACAUCACAACAGUCACCAGACCAAACUCAAGCCUCCAUCACAUCAGAUGAUUUGGAUUCUACGUCCAUCACGGCAGAGCCAUCAUUUACAAUUCUCUCGGUGACACUUCUGACUCACCAUCAAUCUACCAAUCUACAAAUGAAUUAG
rnacentral:lncRNA from 1 species